UCUGAGAAGACUCUAAUCGAAGAUACUUGGCCUCGCCGCCGCGACAAAGGAACCAUUUUGGAAUUGCUUGAGGAGUCUGAAAGGAGUUAACUUUGAUUCUCGUACUCGAAUCUAAGCAAAUGGCGUCUUCGUUCUGGAACAUAGCUUAUCAACAAGCCAUGAGAAGCGGUGUGUUUGUGGCGAAAGUCUACUCCUUUCUCCAUGUAACCACUAACUAUCUCGCCUUCCCUGCUUAUGCUUUUGGUCCGAGCAUGAUCCCCACGCUUCAUCCUUCAGGUAAUGUCGUGCUGGCAGAACGAAUCUCCAAACCGAGUCGUGGAGAUGUCGUUGUCUUUCAAUCUCCUGAAGACCCUAACAAGCUUCCGACCAAGAGAGUGGUGGGACUUGAGGGAGACUCUGUAAGCUUUGUGGUUGGUCCGGGGAAGAACGAUGAAUCAAGAACCAUUGUGGUUCCUAAAGGGCAUGUGUGGGUGGAAGGUGACUAUAUUCAGAACUCGAGAGACUCUAGAAUCUUUGGUCCUGUACCUUAUGGUCUUAUUCAAGGCAGAGUGCUUUGGAGGGUUUGGCCAUUUCAAGAUUUUGGACCCAUUGGACCACCGACCACAACUUGAGAAAUAUGGGAGUUAGCUUGGUUGGUCGGUUUGUGAGUUUAGUAAUCUGGUUGUUAACCCAAGUGAGUCCGGCGGUUAGCUAUAUAAUGGAGAGAUUGAUACCAUGUGAGAUCACACUAUAGAAUAGUGUUGGUGAUUUGCUGGUGUUUGAUACCUUGUAUUUCGGAAGCUUUGCUCUCAAGCGAAAGGCUUUCAGUUCAGAAUCUUUGCUCUCAAGUCAGAUUUUGGUAGUGGAAACUGUCUUCAAGAUCAUAAGUUAAUGCAUAGACGUUGUGAAGUAUGUAAGCUCUUGACUAAUUUUCAUUUGUGUGAUUAGUCUGUGUUGCUGCUGCUGCUUUGUUUGUGAAAGGUUAAGGGUUAGUAAUGAACAACACAUGUAUGUAUGUAUGUAUGUGUUUGCGAGCUUUUGAUUCACCGUUUCUUCAUCA